rnacentral:rRNA from 1 species
CCUACGGGUGGCAGCAGUGGGGAAUAUUGCACAAUGGGGGAAACCCUGAUGCAGCGACGCCGCGUGAAGGAAGAAGUAUUUCGGUAUGUAAACUUCUAUCAGCAGGGAAGAAAAUGACGGUACCUGAUUAAGAAGCCCCGGCUAACUACGUGCCAGCAGCCGCGGUAAUACGUAGGGGGCAAGCGUUAUCCGGAUUUACUGGGUGUAAAGGGAGCGUAGGCGGCUUAGCAAGUCAGAAGUGAAAGCCCGGGGCUCAACCCCGGGACUGCUUUUGAAACUGUUCAGCUAGAGUGCAGGAGAGGUAAGUGGAAUUCCUAGUGUAGCGGUGAAAUGCGUAGAUAUUAGGAGGAACACCAGUGGCGAAGGCGGCUUGCUGGACUGUAAAUGACGCUGAGGCUCGAAAGCGUGGGGAGCAAACAGGAUUAGAUACCCUGGUAGUC